rnacentral:rRNA from 1 species
GCAUAUGGCCUUACUACUGUGAACAUACCUGACCUCUUCUGAUCUCUGAAGCUAAUAGGUUGGGCCUGGUUAGUACUUGGGUGGGAAACCACUUGGGAAUACUGGGUGCUGUAGCCU